UUUUUGCAAAUUGAGAUUUUUAGCAUCUUCUUUCCAAAUCAAAACUAUUUGUUACUAUGCUUUUUGUUUUGAAAGUAGUAUCAAGGGCUGUAUUUGCAUAAGCAACUGUAGGUCUCCAAAACCAUGUCUUGGUUUAAUUAUUGGGCAGCAGAUUAGAGACUGUGCUGCAUCAAAUUUAGAAUAAAUCAACAAUUGUGAUUUUUAAAAUGUUUUAACUUUGGAGGAGUUGGGACUGUGUCAUUCAUUGAUCUUUAUGUUAAUAUGUAGUAUUUGAGAUAUUUUGCUAUUUCAACUACAGAACUCUGCAGUCAUUUUUAGGGUUUAUUUUUAAAUGUAUCAGAACUGCAGUGUCUUACUAUAUUUUGUAAUCAUUCUUCUAAUAUUUAUUUUUGAGAGAGAGAGAGACCAAGCAAGUGAGCACGGGAAGGAGAGAGGGAGAGAGAGAAUCCCAAGCAGGCUCCACUCUGGCAGUGCAGAGCCUGACACAGGGCUCCAACUCAACAAACUGAGAUCAUGACCUGAGCUGAAAUCAAGAGUCAGACGCUUAACCCACUGAGCCACCCAGGUGCCCCAAUAUGUUACAAUCAUUUCUAAGGCCACCUGUAAAUGUCUGAUGUUAUAGAGAAGACCCCAGAAAAAGCCUUCAGUGAAGAAGAAAGAAAACAAAACAAAACAUACCACACAUGUAGCUUCAUCAAAUUUGUUUCCCCAAAUGUAGACAUUAGAGAGUAUGGGGUUUGUUUUCAUGGACUGUGAAAGUGCAACAAGUCCUUCUCCCUUUAUGUUGUUGUUGACUACUGACAACCUAGGGAGAAACAAGAAGUAAUAACCCUGGAAACCAGUAAAUAAUUUCACAAAGAAGAUGCGUAAGUUAGCCAACAUUUAUUACAUUUCUUUCUAAGUUUGUUAUUUUAAGAGAGGGGGAGAUAGAGGAUCCGAAGUAGGCUCUGCACUUACAGCAGAGAGCUCGAUGCAGGGCUCGAACGCACGAAGCCUGACAUGACCUGAGCCGAAGUUGGUCACUUACCCCACUGAGCCACCCAGGCACCCUUGUUGAAUUUUAUGCUGUAAAAUCUUGGCAUUACUCUUCAGCAUCUGAUGUAAUCCUAAAAUCCAAGAAACUUAGUUCUCUAAUUGGAUGCUUCAUGUACCUAGUAGAGCUACCUACAUUUUAGAAUCAAUAGGCUGUUUUAUAUCAUUCAGUAAAUGUUUGGGGUGGAUUACAAAUACACCCUUCAGGAUUAAGUCAUCCAAGUAGUAUUUUUUUUAUUUUUUAAGUCUUGGUCAUAUUGAAUGAUUGUGAUUUUUCUAUAGAAUUCAGGGUAAAUACUAUAGGCAGUAAGAAUUCUCUCAGUCUUGAAUCGAUCAUAAUUAGAAUCAAUAUAAUUUUUAAUAGACAUUACUUUUGGGGAUGCCUGGGUGGCUCAGUUGGUUAAGUGGCCAACUUCGGCUCAGAUCAUGAUCUCGUGGUUCGUGAGUUCGAGCCCCACGUCAGACUCUGUGCUAACAGCUCAGAGCCUGGAGCCUGCUUCAGAUUUGUGUCUCCCUCUCCCUCUGCCCCCUCCCCUGCUCACACUCUGUGUGUGUCUCUCUCUCUCUCUCGCUCAAAAAUAAACAUUAAAAAAAAAAAAAAAGACAUUACUUUUGAAAAAGAAAUUGAAAUGUUUAAUAUGUCAGUUUAGAAACUAUUUUUAUAUUUCAUCAUGCAUCUUGAGUUAAAGGGCUUGAGGUUAGUGUUUUAAAGGUUUAAAUUUUUGUUAUUUUGAUUAAAUAUAUAGCGAUACUAA
rnacentral:lncRNA from 1 species